AUAUAUGAAGCCAGUUCAAAAAAAAUGAAAAGCCACUGGGGGCAGUCUCGUCCCUACGUGCGUCUAAUGACCAAGAAAUCCACUAUCAAACAUCAAGGAUUGCGAAAGAUCACAUAGCUCUCGAUCACAAGGGUUUGACGAAGAAGAAGGAGGAGGAGAAGCAAGCAGAGGAUGUAAAGAUGUUGUUUUUUGGAAUUUAUGACUAUUGCGGUGGUGGAAACAAAGAUAGUGAUCGAUCUCACAAGAACCAUUACUCGAGAAGGAGUUUGAAAUUCACACUCAUUUUACACUGAUGCUGGCAUUUCAGGAUUUGGAGCAAAGUCACAACAUUCCGAUGGCUAAAUCCACUUUUCAAGAGGGGUCGAAACCAAAAGCUGGAAUUAUACCAUAUUACCAUCUGUCCCUCCUUCAGAAAGAGCAGCAAAUGCUUCAGCUUUGCUCGAAGAAUCAUUCCGGAAACAGAAGAUGGAAGAUUCUUCAUUGCCAAAAGCCAUAAUUCGGGCCGUAUGGAAAUCAUUAGCUGUAAAUGCAGUUUUUGCAGGUAUUUCUGUCUAUUUAGUACUAUUCAAAUAGUGUGAUUGAAAGUAGUACUCUUACUUUAUAUUUUUCAGAAAUGUUGGAAUUAUGCAUUCAAAGAUUAGUGUGUGAAAGUAUGGAAUCAAGUUACGUAAAAAACCCACAGAGUCUCUCCCCAUAGAAAACUCUAUCUUUCCUCCCCUUCUGUUGCCAGAUCUUGAUCAAUGUUUUGAUCGGGAUCCUUGGCUUGAGAAUGGGGGAGGCUUUCCCUUCCGUUUUUCCUUUUACUUCUGUUAAUUUCGGUUUUCCCUCUCCCGUUUUCUCCAUGCCCACCGUCUUGGGUGGUUUUGCUCGGAGCUUGUCUCUGAUUUGGAUCUGUUCGAUUUCGAACUUCCACUUUUCAGUUUCAUUGGUACUCACCCUUUUCAUUCCACUGUUCUUGUCUUCUGCCGUGGUCGGUUUAAGUGGGGUUUGCCCACUAGGGCUCUUGGUGAAGCAACAAGGGUUUGUGUAUCUUCGAUCUCAUCUGUUCUUUUCAUCCGGUUGUUGUUCCUCUGGUUUCUUGGCGGAAGAAUUUCGGUGUGGUGAUUUCUGAAUCUCUGGAGGCUAGGCUGGUAACCUUGAAUUCGAUAUGGGUCUUGCCCGAUCAUAUAUAUAUAUAUAUGAUUAGUAUAACUACAAAAAUUAAUUAAUGUAUCACUUAGUUCUUUAGGAGUCAAUGUUGUUGCAUCCUGUAUUAGUCCCUUCGUAAUCAGAAAUUUUAUGAAGUAUAUAGUUGGAAAGUAUGAUAGCUCAAACAAGUAUUAUGGAGAAAAACUUGCCUUCAUAUUCUUUUUUGGCAAUGACUUUGUACUCAAUUACUCAAAGGAAACUAUCUUUUGGCACUUGGCAAAUUGGUCUACAAGUAAGAGCUGCUCUGACCACCUUAAUCUACAAGAAGUGCAUCUCAAUUAAGUACUCUAGUCUAAGAAAUAGUAAAAUCGUAAACUUAAUCAACAUGGAUAUAGAAGUGGUUGGAGAAUUCGUCUCUUCUAUUCAUUAAGUUUGGGUGUUUCCCUUUCAAGUGUUUUUGGCAUUGAUUAUCUAGUACAAAAAUCUCGGUGUUGCUCAUUCUCUGUCGACCUUUUUGACCAUAGUAGCAGUAGUGGUAUAUAUGCAACACACCAUUGACUCGAAGACAACAAAAUCUCCAAUCAAAAUAAUCAUGGAAGCAUAGGAUUCAAGAAUUAAGAAACCUUAGAGACUCUAAAAAGCAUGAGAGUCGUAAAAUUCAAUUCAUGGGAAAAUAGUUUCUUAUAGAAGCUCCUUCAACUCAGAAAAACUGAGAAAAAUUAGUUAAAAAGAUUUUUGUACGUACACUAAGGCAGCAUUGGUAUUUCUCUUCUGGACUUCACCGACUAUAGUGUCAAUGAUUACUUUUGGUGUUUGCAUCAUGAUGAAAACAACAUUAGAACCAUAUACAGUUCUAUCAGCUUUAGCCACUUUCAGAAUCCUUAUCGAGCAUAUUUACAACCUAUCAGUGUAU